UACGUAGGGAGCAAGCGUUGUCCGGAAUUACUGGGUGUAAAGGGUGCGUAGGCGGGGAACCAAGUCAGGCGUGAAAACUAUCGGCUUAACCGGUAGCCUGCGUUUGAAACUGGUUCUCUUGAGUGAAGUAGAGGCAGGCGGAAUUCCCGGUGUAGCGGUGAAAUGCGUAGAGAUCGGGAGGAACACCAGUGGCGAAGGCGGCCUGCUGGGCUUUAACUGACGCUGAGGCACGAAAGCAUGGGUAGCAAACAGGAUUAGAUACCCUGGUAGUCCAUGCCGUAAACGAUGAUUACUAGGUGUGGGGGGUCUGACCCCUUCCGUGCCGGAGUUAACACAAUAAGUAAUCCACCUGGGGAGUACGGCCGCAAGGUUGAA
rnacentral:rRNA from 1 species